CGAAGCCGUGCGAUCGAGCCAAUAGUGAUCGUGCGGUGCUUACGGGAACACGUUUCGGCUCGUCGGUCUCGUUCGCGGUACGUUCUCUGAUACGUGAAAACAUAAAGCAAGGAAGAAAGAGAGAGAGAGAGAAAGAAAAAGAGAGAGAGAAGAGAGAGAGAGAAAGAAAGAGAAUAAGAGAGAAGUAGUAUAAAGGGAAUCUCCAUCUUUGUCUUUUGGUCGGUAGUCGUCAAGGUCGAACGGAAGGGAAAUCCGAGAGGGGAAGGAGAAAUUCUCUUGGUCAUCAUUAUCUUCAUCAUCGCCGUCGUUAUUAUCGUCGACUACACUAUCUCUUCAUUUGAUCACUACCUAUUUGAAGGAACUCAAGGAAAGCUGCAACUCUUCUUCGGCAACAGCAGGAUUCAGGGGCGAGAAGCGCGCAGGACGAGAGGAGAGAAGUGGAGACGAAAGAAACAUAGCGGAGGGGAGGGGAGGGACACGAAACAACUCUUCGAAGAAGACGUCGCGAGCUUAGCGGCUCGUUUUUCAAAGGAGACGUUGUCAUCGUGGGUGAGGAGAGGCGAGGAACGCCAUGCCGGCAGGUAUUGGCGCUUCGUACAGGUCGUUAGGCGACCUGGGCGAAGACGUUUACAAAAGCACAACGAUCGUCGACCAGACUCAGAGCACCGGUCAAAGUGUACUCGAAAGUGUCAAGAAGGCUUUCAGCUUCGCUUCGCCAAAGGUGGAGAUCAGGAAGAAGGAUCCAUUGAUCGAGGAUCGACGAGAGAGCGUCUCGAUCGUAUCAAGGGACAGAAACAAGAUGCCAACCGCCGCUACCGCCGAGAAAACUGCACUAUUGGGCACGAUGCCUUCGUGCAUGCGAGAUAGUAUGGACGAUAUCGAGUUGAAGAAUAUUCAGCUACAGUUUCCGGCUCUGAGGUAUUUGUCGAGAGACGAUAGCUCUGUACGAGAAGAAAGAGUAGAAACCGAUAAAGGUAGUCUGCUUGUUGCCGUACAAGGAAACCAGACAAAACCAGCGAUCCUCACCUACCACGAUUUAGGCCUUAAUUAUAUCUCGAGCUUCCAAGCUUUCUUCAAUUACAUCGACAUGCGCGUUCUCCUCGAAAACUUUUGCGUCUAUCAUGUUAACGCACCUGGUCAAGAGGAAAAUGCACUGGCGCUUCAGGAAGAUUAUGUUUAUCCAUCCAUGGAAGAGUUAGCAGAACAAUUGCUCUUUGUCCUCGGCCAUUUCGGUUUGAGAUCUGUCAUUGGUUUUGGGGUUGGUGCGGGAGCCAAUAUAUUGGCUAGAUUUGCACUUGCACAUCCAGAUAAGGUCAAUGCACUGUGCUUGAUCAAUUGCGUAUCUACGCAAGCAGGAUGGAUCGAAUGGGGUUAUCAAAAGCUCAACGUUCGUCAUCUGAGGUCACAGGGAAUGACGCAGAGCGUCCUUGAUUAUCUCAUGUGGCAUCAUUUUGGCAGGGGUACAGAAGAAAGAAACCAUGACCUCGUUCAAGUCUACAAGAAUUAUUUCGAACAUCGCGUGAACCCAAUAAAUCUAGCAUUAUUCAUCGACAGUUACGUGCGACGUACUGAUUUGAAUAUCACCAGAGAACUGGAUCCUACGCGCAAGAAGGAAGGUUUAACGCUUAGCGUACCAGUAAUGAACAUUACAGGUGCUCUGAGUCCGCACGUGGACGACACGGUUACGUUAAAUGGGCGGUUAGAUCCAACGAACAGCACCUGGAUGAAGAUCUCUGAUUGCGGUAUGGUCCUCGAGGAACAACCGGGCAAAGUAAGCGAGGCCUUUCGACUGUUUCUUCAAGGCGAAGGAUAUGCGGUGAGAUCCUCGCGGAAGCCCAUGACGCCGACAACACCCGAAGGUAAUUGUAAUUAGGAAUUGAAGGUCGCAAGGAGUCGAGCGCGCAGUUGGUCAAUUAGGCCACAUCUAUGUGUUAAUGGCCCCACUUUCGCCAUUGAAGAUGGCCGACUAUAGAUUGGCCUCUCUCGAAGGACUGAAUCAUGUUUGCAGCAAGAAAAUCGAUUGGCCUACAGCAACUAUACACAUCACCGAGAAUCCCAUAUCGGAAGCAGUGGUUUGCUAAAUGUUUCUCGAUGAACAACAACCACCUCCGUUAAUUUCUUUUUAAAUAAUAAAAACUACCUAAUCGACGAUAGAUCAAACAACACGAUGACGAUAAAUAACUUCAAGGUUUCGUCGAAACAACGAUCGUCGUGGCAUUCGUUUUAAUUUCUUUUCGAGGUGGUACCGUAACAUAUUAUUUUCGACUGCGAUUUCAGUUUAGUUCGAUUCUAUUAUAUCUUUUUUUUUGCUUUCGACUUUUUUAUUCUUAUAAUUAAUUUUCACUAUUUUUAUCUUAAACAAAAGUUAGUCGAUAUAACUAUUAUGCGACGCUGCGUUGUUAUUUUACAAAAUGAAGAAAGAAGUAAAAAAGAUAAAAAGAAAGAAAGAGAGAGAGAGAGAGAGAUAGAGAGAUAGAAAAAGAGAAAAAUUUAUUAUCGAGUAAUUUCCAAAUGUUACAUUUUUAAAAAGUGACUGAUCACAAAUUUUCUAAUGUUAAGAGGGCGAAACAAAUAACUAUUUAAAAAGUUAACGAGUUCGUAUAAUUUUAAAAUCGAUGUUGAAUAUUUUAAAAGUGAUUUUAAACAAUGAACAUUUUUAUUAUUAAAAUUUUAAGACGUUGUUACGACGCCUUUAAAAAAGGAAGAAAACACAUACACACACCAUACUUCUGCGAUAAUUCGACGACGCCCAUUGUCGCCGUGAACAAAACUAACAGCGACGACAAUAUCGUAAGGGAGCGAGAUUUUAAAAAAAAAAAAGUCAAGUCAAUCAGUAAAAACUAUCAUCGAAUGAAUGUUCAUGAAUAAUCGCGGAUAAGUUAAUUUUUUCGUAAAUUUACGAGCACACAACGAAUUCGCGACUUUUACACCGAGACAAAUUUUACAAACCGUUUAAGGAAUAUUAAACGAUAUGAUUUAGCAAUUUCUUUAUAAAUUAUGCCAACAUUUAUGAACGGUAUGAAAUUUAUGCAGAUACAUAAGAAACAAGAACUCGCAAUAUGAUAUUAUUUCAUUCACAAGUACUAUUAAUAAAUAUACAAAAACAUAUAUACACACAGACAUACUUAUAUACACACACACAAACAAACAAACAUACACACACACACACACAUAUAUAUAUAUAUAUACGAAAAUACAUACAUGUGUAAAAAGAAAUCAAAAUAAUGAAAAGAAAAGAAGAAAUAAUACGGUGGUACUGUACAGAAAAAAAGAACAAAUCGCGCUUUCCCGAGACUGAAAUCCAUCAACAACCAUGUCUAUCGAUUUUUUUCGAAGGAAGAAACGAUCGAUAAAUCGUUUCAACAAUAGAAAUGAAGAUAUAGUACCCAAAAGCGUGAAGUUUCGUCGUUGGUAGUAAAAAAUUUCAGACGAUAUUACGGAGAAAUAAUAAAAAAAAUGAUGGAUGCUGCUAAUUAGCUGCCUCAAAGUGUCCUCGGAGAGAGAGAGUUCGCUAUAUUACUCGUCGUCCAUUGGCCUAAGGAUGAAAUCGAAAGAUCUAAGAAACAAGUCGAUCGAUCGUACAAUCGACUCUUCUUUCGUCGAAUUUUCGUCGGACUUUUCGCGAUUUAGGUGCUGAUAAGAAGGACAAAUUCUUCGCGUUAUACAGAAAAAUUCUUUUGAGAACGGAUUGGUGUAGAAUUUGUGUUACUGUCCGUUCUAAAAAAAAGAUUUUCCAUCGAUCCUUUUUCCCUGCCAUAAAAGGGCAUUAUGGAAAGAGAGAGCGAGAGCAAGAGAGAGAGAGAGAGAGAGAGAGAGAGAGAGAGAACGAGAAAACGAGAGAAAACGCCUAUACACGCGUUUACGUUUGUGCACCGUUCGCACCAUUUUAUUAUUUUAUUUUAAAGCGCAUAUGGAAUAAAUACAUAUAGAGGAAAAAAAUGACGAUGAAUGAUGUGCGUUUGAGUGCGAGGAUGUACGUAUAGAAAGAAAAAUCAUAGUAGAAGAGUAUAUUUGAUAGAUAGUCGUUAAAGGAAAAUAAUAAGUCAAAAAGAUCUGGUUUGGUACAUCCGCAUGGUUAUAUUAUACCUGGCUUUUUCAAGCCUCUAGCGUGAUAUGAUAAGACGUGCCUGCUACAUGAUGUUGUACUACGUAGCUUUCGAAAGUUCCACUCCGCCUUUAGUUUUGUAUGUGAUGAGAUUCCUUCCGAUUUUCUCUGUAUUAAAUUUUGUCGUAUCUUUGUGCAUUCACCUUUGUGAUAGGUGAAGAUAAGAACGAGCCAUUGCUUCUCGUGCAGCGUGUCACGUUUAAUCGGACGAUCGUAUUGUGUAUAUAUAUAUAUAUAUAUAUAUAUAUAUAUAUAUAUAUAUAUAUAUGUAUGUAUGUAUAUAUAUACAUAUAUAUUCUUUUUCUUUCGUUUUCGUAACGACAAAUUGUCAAAGCACAAAGAGACGAGAAAAUUAUAAAAAUACUAAAAAGAUUUCGAGGAUAAGACUUAGUCGCUCCACGUAGACGAGAAAGUUUAUAAUGAGAAACCGGAUAUAUGUAUGUAUAAUAGAUGUAUGUAUAUCUAUGACGCGUUGUUUAGACUGUCGCGAAAAAAAUAGUAUACAGCUUUAUAUUAGAGAAGUUCGUGGCUCGAUUUGCGAGAAUUGAAAAGGAUAACACACGCAUUAAAAAAAUUGCUGACGUGAGCUCUAAGUAAGUAAGAAUAACGUAGCCUCUAAGAACUACCGAUACACCGCCAAUAAUAUACGUAUAUAUCCUACGUUCCCGUAUUAUUUCUCACUCUUCGUUAUCAAACAUUCAAGCCGACUGUUAGAUUAAUCGCGUAAUAGAACGGAUCAUUCGAAAUUACAAUUAGACUAUCGAUAUAUAUAUAUAUAUAUAUAUAUAUACAUAUACAUAUAUAUAUAUAUAUAUAUAUAUAUAUAUAUAUAUAAAAUACCUGCAUUCGAUUAAACAUAUCGACGAAGGAGAAUUCGGCGAACGCUGCUUUUUAAAUUUUCGAUCGUCGGUCCGAUCUCUUAAUGAUACGGUUCUUCGUCAAGAAAAUCUUCUCGAAGUGCAUAUCAGUAAUGUAUGUAUAACAAAAUUGGAAAUGAUAUCUCGUAGAUAAAACGAAACGAAACGAAACGAAAAGAAAAACGCAAAAGAAAAGUGAAAAAAAUUUCCUUCGUGGAUCAAUGAGUACUCAUUUUUUGCAUACGUCACGACGAAUCGUAUUUUACUAUAUUAAUUUCUUUCAUAUUACGAGAUUUUAUCUCAUAUUAUACGAUUAAACGAUCCGGAUUUAAAAAAGGACCGAAAAUAAAAUAUAUAUAACGUUUUUUCAUGGGAUCGAUCGUUUUCAUCCGUCGAUACGAUCUUACGCGAGAUCGUUCAAUGCGCGACGAGAUUAAAUAUUUUAUGUUUCCUUUCUUUCUUUCUCUUUCGUUUUUUUUUUCUUUUUUCUUUAUUUCUUUUAUUUCAGUUGAAUUGUCACACUUACAAUGCGUUUGUUUUUCUUUUUUUUUUUCGCGCUGUACUCUAUCUAUCGUAGCGCGAAGCAUAUUGAGUUCGUGACGUUAAUGACUCAAGAGUAAAUGAAAUAUAGUAAGUACAGUAAGAGCGAACUAUACGUAUUGUUAGACGCGGAGCUUGAAUACAUAUAAAAUACGUUAUAAUGAUUAAAGGACACGUGCGCACUGAACAAAUACAUCUUGUUAUUUAUAAUAAACGAAUUCGAAAGCAAA